CCUACGGGGGGCAGCAGUGGGGGAUAUUGCACAAUGGGGGAAACCCUGAUGCAGCGACGCCGCGUGGGUGAAGAAGCGCCUCGGCGCGUAAAGCCCUGUCAGCAGGGAAGAAAAUGACGGUAUCUGACGAAGAAGCCCCGGCUAACUACGUGCCAGCAGCCGCGGUAAUAUGUAGGGGGCAAGCGUUAUCCGGAAUUACUGGGUGUAAAGGGGGCGAAGGCGGGGAUGCAAGCCAGGUGUGAAAGCCCGGGGCCCAACCCCGGGACUGCUCUUGGAACUGCGUGGCUAGAGUGCAGGAGGGGCAGGCGGAAUUCCUGGUGUAGCGGUGAAAUGCGUAGAGAUCAGGAGGAACACCGGUGGCGAAGGCGGCCUGCUGGACUGCAACUGACGUUGAGGCCCGAAAGCGUGGGGAGCAAACAGGAUUAGAUACCCGGGUAGUC
rnacentral:rRNA from 1 species